rfam:Lachancea thermotolerans CBS 6340 chromosome D complete sequence.
GGUUGUUUGGCCGAGCGGUCUAAGGCGCCUGAUUCAAGAGUCACUCUUAACGUUGUAAUACAACGGAACACUCAGGUAUCGUAAGAUGCAAGAGUUCGAAUCUCUUAGCAACCA